rnacentral:lncRNA from 1 species
ACCUUUUACCUAAUCUUCUUUAGUCUGACUUGAUGAAGUCAGUGGGAGGAUUAAGAUUAAUUGGUCAAAUCUUUUCUUAUCUCUCAAUUCAACUAAUUAAAUCCUCUAAAAUUGUUAGAUCCCUAAAAAUAAAAUAGUUAUAGUAAUAACUAGAUCAUAGCCUCCUAUUAAGUUGGAUGAUAAUGAGUCCAAUAGUUUAGAUAAUCAUUGGAGGUGCCAUAUGUCUGGUGCUCAUCUAACUGUCAGAAUUAUCAUUCAUAAUAUAUUAUUUUAGUUGGUCCUUCUGAUGAUGGUCAGG